rnacentral:rRNA from 1 species
UAGGGAAUAUUGGACAAUGGGGGCAACCCUGAUCCAGCCAUGCCGCGUGAGUGAAGAAGGCCCUCGGGUUGUAAAGCUCUUUUGUCCGGAAAGAAAAGCAUUCGGUGAAUACCCGGAUGUUCUGACGGUACCGGAAGAAUAAGCACCGGCUAACUUCGUGCCAGCAGCCGCGGUAAUACGAAGGGUGCAAGCGUUACUCGGAAUUACUGGGCGUAAAGCGUGUGUAGGUGGUUGUUUAAGUCUGAUGUGAAAGCCCUGGGCUCAACCUGGGAAUGGCAUUGGAAACUGGGCAGCUAGAGUGCGGUAGAGGGUAGUGGAAUUCCCGGUGUAGCAGUGAAAUGCGUAGAGAUCGGGAGGAACAUCUGUGGCGAAGGCGACUGCCUGGACCAGCACUGACACUGAGGCACGAAAGCGUGGGGAGCAAACA